rnacentral:tRNA from 1 species
UAAAAGUUAGUUAAUUAACUUAUAACAUUAAAUUGUCAAUUUAAAAUAAUUUUAUUUAUAAAAUACUUUUAU